CUGUGUCUCAAAAAUGAAUAAACAUUAAAAACAACAACAACAAUCAAAACAUUUCAGCAAUCCUUGCCCUAGAAGGCAAAAUAUACUUGUUCGUUUGGGUAUAUAUUGGCUAAGAAAUCACCUAGAAACUUCCAUGAACUCAUUACCACUUUCAGGUACAUAUUUUACAGUUUAAAACAUCAGCGGGGUUCCGUAGGCAAGUAGUCACAGGUGUAAGUCAUUGUUUUAUUUGUAGCUGGUGCCCAGGGUAGGAGGGUAGUAAGAUCCGGUUUGCAGGCCCCUUAGUUCAUCUCUUCUCCCCACAGGGUGGGCUGAGAGGGAAAAUACUUGAACUCAACUCAGCUCCUGUUAAGAUGCAAAUGACCUUGAUGGGAGCAGCACCUUCAGCGGCGGCCUGUGACCCCCACCUUCCUGCAGAGUCUGUCAGCCAGCUCCAGUAGGGGGCAAAGAGCUAGACAGGUUGGGAAGGGCUGUUUGCUUGGGGGUAGGCCAGAGCAAAGAAGUGGGGGGAUUUCAGCUCGUACAGUAGCCUUGGCCUCCAGGGGUGGACUGUGGGUCUGGCCCAGAGACGACACGGCUGACUCCAGGGGGGUUUCUGGAGGGCACAUGGGCCCUGCCUGAGUUCUGCCUUUGCUGGGGAGGUGAUCUCACUCUUCAGUGUCUCAUCUACGACACAGGCCACCUGCCUCCUAUUCCCUCAAUUUACAAAGACUUUUGCAAACAAGAUUCCCUACAAAUGUGAGGGGAUGUGGAGGGUCGUAUCACGGAGAAAACGGCUUGGUGUUUGCGGAGGAUCUGGCUUUGAGGCUGGGCCCUGGCUCCGACCAGGAAUAUCGUUCUCUGUGCAAGAAUGCAGCUGUAAUGUCAUGAGAAUACUCCUGCAGUCGUAGAGAGAGGUCCAAACGCAGAGAACUGAGACCUGGUGGAGCCCUGCCGCCUCCAACCACAUGAGUGGCCAUCUUGGAACCGAAUCGCCUAGCUGCAGUCAGGCCAUUCAGGGGACGACAUGCCUUCUACCAUGUGAUGGCAACCUCAUUAGAGACCUUGAGCCAGAACCAUCCAGCUGAGCCACUCCUACAUUCCUACCCCUCAAUACCAUGAGAGUUGCAGCAAUGGAGGCUUGGAGAUGAAGAGAAUUUCCUAGGAUUAUAAAGGAGAUAAGUGGCAGAGCACAGAUUGGAAUUCGAACCUCUGAAGUCUGGCUUCUGUGCUUUUUCCCUUUAUGACACCUUGCUUCUCCGGAGUGAAAAUACGGAUAUGGUGAUUAAGAGCUUACCAGCUCGCGGUACUCAAAACACACAUACCUGAUGAAGACAUCAAGGCCUGGAGAUGAAAGAGAAUUUACUGGGAUUAAAAGACGGGACUGCUGGGCACGUGCUGGGAUCCCACCUUCUGGCUCCCCUGUUGGUUGGGCGGGACUGAAAGACGAAUUUUGGCCAAUUAUUUGUGAGAAGUCACAGGGCGCCACUUGGGGACUGGAGCAUUUCAUGGCUUGCAGUGAGACCCCGUCUUUUGUCUGCCGUCUGAUGACCAGAAAUGCUCAAGAUAGGACUGCUUCGUGAACCCGAUCUGUGGAUGACUAUGUGAGUAAUUCUCUGCUGUCUAUAUGGGUCUGGCAGUGGUCACGUAGAGUAGAGGUCAGCAAAUGGCCAGCGGCCUGCUUUUGGAGGGCUUAGGGAUCUAAGAACAGUUUCUACAUUUUUAAAAAAGGAUUAUACCAAAAACAACCACCCCCAAACAACGAACGGACAAAACAAAGAAGAAAAAUGUGUAACAGAAACCCUAUGUUGCUCGCAAAGCCUGAAAUAUUUGCCACCUGGGUCUCGGGAGAAGCAUUGACUAGCAUUAACCCUGGCUGACUCACUGGGAGAAUGGAGAAGGAAGGUGAGGUUGAGCAAGUUAAGAAAAAGGCAAAAGAGAAUCAGGUGUUCAAGGCCAUGCCAGGGAUGCAGGAUGUUUCAAGGGUGGGUUUCAAGCGGGCCAAUGGGGUGAAAGAAGGCCGCGGAGGAAAGGUCAGGACUGGAUUCCGUGGAGACCUGUACGUCAUGGUGACUUUGCUCUCCAUCCUGAAGGCCGUGGCGAGGUGAUGGGCUUUUUUUUUUUUUUUUAACUUUAAAUAACUAUUUAAAAUAAUUUUACUUUAAUUCAGUAAGUCAUAUAAUUCACUAAGGAGUAAUUAUAAAAUACACAGGAAAAAAGUGUUUUAAACCUUACUCUGAGUAUUGAGAGAGAUUAACAUAUUCCAUCUCUUAACUUUUAUUUAUUUAUUUUUUAAAAAUUUUUUCUUUCAACGUUUUUUUUUUUAA